UACGGAGGGUGCAAGCGUUAUCCGGAUUCACUGGGUUUAAAGGGUGCGUAGGCGGGUAGGUAAGUCCGUGGUGAAAUCUCUGAGCUUAACUCAGAAACUGCCGUGGAUACUAUUUGCCUUGAAUAUUGUGGAGGUGAGCGGAAUAUGUCAUGUAGCGGUGAAAUGCUUAGAUAUGACAUAGAACACCAAUUGCGAAGGCAGCUUACUACACAGUUAUUGACACUGAGGCACGAAAGCGUGGGGAUCAAACAGG
rnacentral:rRNA from 1 species